AUUGAACGCUGGCGGCAGGCCUAACGCAUGCAAGUCGAGCGGUAACACAGGGAGCUUGCUCCUGGGUGACGAGCGGCGGACGGGUGAGUAAUGUCUGGGAAACUGCCGGAUGGAGGGGGAUAACUACUGGAAACGGUAGCUAAUACCGCAUAACGUCGCAAGACCAAAGAGGGGGACCUUCGGGCCUCUUGCCAUCAGAUGUGCCCAGAUGGGAUUAGCUAGUAGGUGGGGUAAUGGCUCACCUAGGCGACGAUCCCUAGCUGGUCUGAGAGGAUGACCAGCCACACUGGAACUGAGACACGGUCCAGACUCCUACGGGAGGCAGCAGUGGGGAAUAUUGCACAAUGGGCGCAAGCCUGAUGCAGCCAUGCCGCGUGUAUGAAGAAGGCCUUCGGGUUGUAAAGUACUUUCAGCGGGGAGGAAGGUGUUGAGGUUAAUAACCUCAGCAAUUGACGUUACCCGCAGAAGAAGCACCGGCUAACUUCGUGCCAGCCGCCGCAGUAACAC
rnacentral:rRNA from 1 species